rnacentral:lncRNA from 1 species
GAUGAGAGAAUUAUUUUGAGUCGCAAUAAAAGAACUCCAAGUAAAUGAUGUUAAGUACUGUUACGACAAACGCACAAACGGAAAUGAAAUGGUGAACACAAAAUAAACAAACCACAGGUAGAAAUAAAAGAAAACACAUAGAUUUACGUGAAAAAUUUUUUUUAAGAAAAAAACCACGGGCGAGGAAGAAGAGAACUUUACUAUCAAAACGAAAAAGAAAAUACAAUAUUCAGAUAGUACAACGAACCACGAUCUCACGCCUUUAGGGAAAAAACGAAAAGGAAAACUCUUAACGAGUUUCGAAUCCGAUCCGUACCGCAGGGGGCGGAGCCCCCUGCACCCCAUGACGAAUGUUAGUGGUGGGCUACGGGCUCAGGGUUGUUGGCCCGAGCCCUCCGUUACCGACUACAGACAUUUAUUUUUUCUUUACAAGUUUAUUCUCCAAUUUAGUCGCACCGCGAAACUGUCAGCGAGUCGAAAAGUCCGAAUUUGAAUCGAUUAUUAAUUUCGAGUCACAUCUAACAAGUACUGUAAUAGUAUCUUGUUGAAUGAGUUU